rnacentral:rRNA from 1 species
UGGGGAAUUUUGGACAAUGGGCGAAAGCCUGAUCCAGCAAUGCCGCGUGUGUGAAGAAGGCCUUCGGGUUGUAAAGCACUUUUGUCCGGAAAGAAAUCCUUGGCUCUAAUACAGUCGGGGGAUGACGGUACCGGAAGAAUAAGCACCGGCUAACUACGUGCCAGCAGCCGCGGUAAUACGUAGGGUGCAAGCGUUAAUCGGAAUUACUGGGCGUAAAGCGUGCGCAGGCGGUUUGCUAAGACCGAUGUGAAAUCCCCGGGCUCGACCUGGGAACUGCAUUGGUGACUGGCAGGCUAGAGUAUGGCAGAGGGGGGUAGAAUUCCACGUGUAGCAGUGAAAUGCGUAGAGAUGUGGAGGAAUACCGAUGGCGAAGGCAGCCCCCUGGGCCAAUACUGACGCUCAUGCACGAAAGCGUGGGGAGCAAACAGGAUUAGAUACCCUGGUAGUCCACGCCCUAAACGAUGUCAACUAGUUGUUGGGGAUUCAUUUCCUUAGUAACGUAGCUAACGCGUGAAGUUGACCGCCUGGGGAGUACGGUCGCAAGAUUAAAACUCAAAGGAAUUGACGGGGU